GACGUAGAAUCGAUCGAUACUCGGCACGUGCUCGUUCCACGCGGAAGGCGGAAUGUUUAGUAAUUCAAUUUGCAACAUAUUUAUCGGAACGAUAUAAAUGUUAUGUUUGGUGCGCGUGCAUUGUCCGUUACGGCAAAAUUUUCUAAUACGGUGGGAGGCAACAAAGAACAAGCGUGACUGAAUGACGUGGAAAAGGAUGCUGCAAACGUGAACUUCGAUCGCGCCUGUUUCAGAUGAUAAGAGUGGCAAUAACAGAUUUCGUCUACCAAUUGUGAAUCAAGAGUUGGAUACUUACGCUUUGAAACCACCAAGAACAGUAAAUCCGACAGGUACAUUUUACUGUGCGAGGUUUCUCGAUUACUCAGCGAAGAAAGCAUGGCAUAGAUUUUCCGAGAACAGAACCAAAG